UACGUAGGGUGCAAGCGUUGUCCGGAAUUAUUGGGCGUAAAGAGCUCGUAGGCGGUUUGUCGCGUCUGCCGUGAAAGUCCGGGGCUCAACUCCGGAUCUGCGGUGGGUACGGGCAGACUAGAGUGAUGUAGGGGAGACUGGAAUUCCUGGUGUAGCGGUGAAAUGCGCAGAUAUCAGGAGGAACACCGGUGGCGAAGGCGGGGUCUCUGGGGCAGUAACUGACGCUGAGGAGCGAAAGCGUGGGGGAGCGAACAGG
rnacentral:rRNA from 1 species